GGGGUUAUAGCUCAGGCCGAGAGCUGAGCAUCAAACUGCAGUGUACCUUCUUGUGAAUUCAAAUUCUGAUGGCCCGUGUUCGAUCCACGUGUCCCCA